rnacentral:rRNA from 1 species
GAAGGUUUUCGGAUCGUAAAACUCUGUUGUCAGGGAAGAACAAGUAUCGGAGUAACUGCCGGUACCUUGACGGUACCUGACCAGAAAGCCACGGCUAACUACGUGCCAGCAGCCGCGGUAAUACGUAGGUGGCAAGCGUUGUCCGGAAUUAUUGGGCGUAAAGCGCGCGCAGGCGGUCCUUUAAGUCUGAUGUGAAAGCCCACGGCUCAACCGUGGAGGGUCAUUGGAAACUGGGGGACUUGAGUGCAGAAGAGGAGAGUGGAAUUCCACGUGUAGCGGUGAAAUGCGUAGAGAUGUGGAGGAACACCAGUGGCGAAGGCGACUCUCUGGUCUGUAACUGACGCUGAGGCGCGAAAGCGUGGGGAGCGAACAGGAUUAGAUACCCUGGUAGUCCACGCCGUAAACGAUGAGUGCUAAGUGUUAGAGGGUUUCCGCCCUUUAGUGCUGCAGCAAACGCAUUAAGCACUCCGCCUGGGGAGUACGGCCGCAAGGCUGAAACUCAAAGGAAUUGACGGGGGCCCGCACAAGCGGUGGAGCAUGUGGUUUAAUUCGAAGCAACGCGAAGAACCUUACCAGGUCUUGACAUCCUCUGACAACCCUAGAGAUAGGGCGUUCCCCUUUUAGGGGACAGGAUGACAGGUGGUGCAUGGUUGUCGUCAGCUCGUGUCGUGAGAUGUUGGGUUAAGUCCCCGCACGAGCGCAACCCU